rnacentral:rRNA from 1 species
GACGAACGCUGGCGGCGUGCUUAACACAUGCAAGUCGAGCGGUAAGGCCUUUCGGGGUACACGAGCGGCGAACGGGUGCGUAACACGUGGGUGAUCUGCCCUGCACUUCGGGAUAAGCCUGGGAUACUGGGUCUAAUACCGGAUAUGACCUCCUAUCGCAUGGUGGGUGGUGGAAAGAUUUAUCGGGGCGGGAUGGGCCCGGGGCCUAUCAGCAUGUUGGUGGGGUAAUGGCCUACCAAGGCGACGACGGGUAGCCGAGCUGAGAGGGUGACCGGCCACAAUGGGACUGAGACACGGCCCAGACUCCUACGGGAGGCAGCAGUGGGGAAUAUUGCACAAUGGGCGGAAGCCUGAUGCAGCGACGCCGCGUGGGGGAUGACGGCCUUCGGGUUGGAAACCUCUUUCAGCAGGGACGAAGCGCAAGUGACGGUACCUGCAGAAGAAGCACCGGCUAACUACGUG